AUACGGAGGGCGCAAGCGUUGUUCGGAAUUAUUGGGCGUAAAGAGCGUGUAGGCGGCUUGGUAAGUCGGGUGUGAAAGCCCGGGGCUCAACCCCGGAACUGCACUCGAUACUGCCUCGCUAGAGUCUCGGAGAGGAAGGCGGAAUUCCAGGUGUAGAGGUGAAAUUCGUAGAUAUCUGGAGGAACACCAGCGGCGAAGGCGGCCUUCUGGACGAUGACUGACGCUGAGGAGCGAAAGCGUGGGGAGCAAACGGGAUUAGAUACCCCAGUAGUCC
rnacentral:rRNA from 1 species